UGGCGUGCCGUCGACCGGCUGGACACGAAAAAGAUCGGUUCCGGGUGAAUAGCGUAUAGCGUCGCGAUUCGAUCUAAAAAUGCCGAACGAGUAUUGCGAAAUACGCAUCUGACCGAAUUGGAGUGCGAGUGCCGUAUAUUACGCGAGUCAGAUGCAAGAUUGAUAUAUUCGUGACAGAAAUCAUUGUGCAUCUGCAAGAAGAGGCGAUCUGACAGCCCAAUUCUGAGGAGGAGGCCUAGGAGAGCAUCGGGCUCCGGCGGAGCAACUUUGGGUAUCAUCGUAGCUUUGUGGCAGAUAACUCCGCCCGUUGCGCUUCGUGUUGGAUGACGAGGAACUAUGGGAAGGGGGCCUACUCAUGGCGUUUUCCGAAAAUUGUCGCCAGCAUGCGAUGCCGUGCACGCUCCACACAUGGCAUACGACAGAUUUGUCCCGCGCAAUGAAGAUUAAAUGGAUCUGUACAAGUCUUGUUAAGACACAGCCGGAAGAUUAUCCUUGGAAGAGCUUUUUCCGAUGGUGUCGGCUGCAUAAUUAAUCGAAUAAGAUAUGCAAAUUUGUUCGUAAUAAUAAACGUCCGACUAUUAA